CUCUCUAGUAGGGCUUGAAAUUCUUCCAAGUCUUGUAAAUUGUGGGACCGAACCUUAGGCCAAUUACGCAAAGUUGUAAGCUGCUUUAUUUGUUGUCGCCUCUCUCCCCCAUACCUCUUCUCUAACUUCGACUUUGCUCGUUCAUAUGCAGCGCUUGAAUAUCCCAAAUCUUUCACCAAGGUCAGUGCUUUACCAGCUAAACUGCUU
rnacentral:lncRNA from 1 species